UACCAGCACCCCGAGUGGUCGGGACGAUUAUUGGGCCUAAAGCAUCCGUAGCCGGCCUUACAAGUCCUCCGUUAAAUCCAGCUGCUUAACAGAUGGGCUGCGGAGGAUACUAUAAGACUAGGAGGCAGGAGAGGCAAGCGGUACUCAGUGGGUAGGGGUAAAAUCCGUUGAUCCAUUGAAGACCACCAGUGGCGAAGGCGGCUUGCCAGAAUGCGCUCGACGGUGAGGGAUGAAAGCUGGGGGAGCAAACCGGAUUAGAUACCCGGGUAGUCCCAGCCGUAAACGAUGCAGACUCGGUGAUGGACUAGCUUUAUGCUGGUCCAGUGCCGCAGGGAAGCCGUUAAGUCUGCCGCCUGGGUAGUACGGUCGCAAGACUGAA
rnacentral:rRNA from 1 species